CUUGGUAACAUUCCAAACUCGAUGGUCUACCGACGAAUGGAUCAGUAUCCAGUGGCGCAAAGUGUUCCUGGAUUGUUCGUACUCCGUAUUGAUGCUCCGAUCUACUUUGCCAAUGCUAGCUACUUAAGAGAGAGGUGAGUGGACCAUCAAUGGCAUUCUAGUGCAUUUGCAUGAAAGUACUUGCGUGUAUGAUUUGGUUAGUGUUGAGUGCCACUUUGUUCAUGGAGAUGCUGGUGCCUGCUGUUUAGAAUCUCACAGUGGAUCGACGAGGAGGAAGACAAACUGAAGUCCAAAGGGGAGACUAGCUUGCAGCAUGUAAUCUUGGACUUGGGUGCUGUGAGCAGCAUUGACACUAGUGGUAUUAGCAUGUUGGAGGAAGUCAAGAAGAGCGUGGAUAGAAGGGGGCUUCAGCUUGUGUUGGCAAACCCUGAAAGUGAGAUAAUGAAGAAGCUAGAUAAAUCAAAGGUCCUCGAAACCAUUGGCCAAGAAUGGAUUUUUCUGACGGUAGGAGAAGCGGUCGCUGCAUGUAAAUUCAUUCUGCACACAUGCAAGCCCGGGGCUGUCACCGAUAGCGCCGGAGUUGAUGACAACAUUGUCUAAGAGAUCGACCAGUUGAAGUCCAAAUGGUAACCAAAUCAUAGGAGAUGGAAACCGAGACACAAUUGUUCUUUUCGAGUUGUGGCCAAAUGAUCUGAGCUGAAGCCUUCUAGUUUAGUGGAGGGUGGCCUUUCUUCUAAUCUCCUUGAGUGAAAAGAAAUAAAUUUUAAAUUGAAAUAUGAUAGAGAAGUUAACACCCUA